rnacentral:misc_RNA from 1 species
UGGUUCUGGCAUCGAUGAAGAACGCAGCGAAAUGCGAUAAGUAAUGUGAAUUGCAGAAUUUAGUGAAUCAUCGAAUCUUUGAACGCACAUUGCGCCCGCCAGUAUUCUGACGGGCAUGCCUGUUCGAGCGUCAUUUCAAACCUCAAGCCCUCUUGCGUGCUUGGUGCUGGGGCUCUUCUAUAGUGACAUCUGUCGUUAUAGGCCCCAAAAACCGACGGCGGACCCGCGAGGUCUCUGAGCGCAGUAAAACACCUCUCGCUUGUGAAAUCUCCCGGGCUGAUAUCCAGCCUUCAUAUCACUAUCAUACCUAAGUUUGACCUCGGAUCAGGUAGGAAUACCCGCUGA